GGCCACGUGGCCUAAUGGAUAAGGCGUCUGACUUCGGAUCAGAAGUGUUGCAGGUUCGAAUCCUGCCGUGGUCG